GUGAGGAAUAUUGGUCAAUGGGCGCAAGCCUGAACCAGCCAUGCCGCGUGCAGGAAGAAGCAUCUAUGGUGUGUAAACUGCUUUUAUACAGGAAGAAACAACGCUACGUGUAGCGUCUUGACGGUACUGUAAGAAUAAGGACCGGCUAACUCCGUGCCAGCAGCCGCGGUAAUACGGAGGGUCCAAGCGUUAUCCGGAAUCAUUGGGUUUAAAGGGUCCGUAGGCGGCCUUAUAAGUCAGUGGUGAAAUCUCCUAGCUCAACUAGGAAACUGCCAUUGAUACUGUAAGGCUUGAAUUUUUGUGAAGUAACUAGAAUAUGUAGUGUAGCGGUGAAAUGCUUAGAUAUUACAUGGAAUACCAAUUGCGAAGGCAGGUUACUAACAAACGAUUGACGCUGAUGGACGAAAGCGUGGGGAGCGAACAGGAUUAGAAACCCUAGUAGUCC
rnacentral:rRNA from 1 species